rnacentral:rRNA from 1 species
UACGUAGGGGGCAAGCGUUGUCCGGAUUUAUUGGGCGUAAAGAGCGUGUAGGCGGCCUGAAAGGUCAGCUGUGAAAACUCGAGGCUCAACCUCGAGACGUCGGUUGAAACCAUCUGGCUAGAGUCCGGAAGAGGAGCGUGGAAUUCCCGGUGUAGCGGUGAAAUGCGUAGAGAUCGGUAGGAACACCAGUGGCGAAGGCGGUCUCCUGGGGCAUUCUUGACGCUGAGGCGCGAAAGCUGGGGGAGCGAACGGG